rnacentral:rRNA from 1 species
UACGUAGGGUGCAAGCGUUGUCCGGAAUUAUUGGGCGUAAAGAGCUCGUAGGCGGUCUGUCGCGUCGGCUGUGAAAACUCGGGGCUCAACUCCGAGCUUGCAGUCGAUACGGGCAGGCUAGAGUUCGGCAGGGGAGACUGGAAUUCCUGGUGUAGCGGUGAAAUGCGCAGAUAUCAGGAGGAACACCGGUGGCGAAGGCGGGUCUCUGGGCCGUAACUGACGCUGAGGAGCGAAAGCGUGGGGGAGCGAACAGG